GCACUUAUACCGUGAAACUGCGAAUGGCUCAUUAAAUCAGUUAUCGUUUAUUUGAUAGUACCUUACUACUUGGAUAACCGUGGUAAUUCUAGAGCUAAUACAUGCUAAAAACCCCAUUAGGGGUGUAUUUAUUAGAUAAAAAACCAACGCCCUCACGGGCUUCUUGGUGAUUCAUAAUAACUAAACGAAUCGCAUGGCCUUGCGCCGGCGAUGGUUCAUUCAAAUUUCUGCCCUAUCAACUUUCGAUGGUAGGAUAGUGGCCUACCAUGGUUUCAACGGGUAACGGGGAAUUAGGGUUCUAUUCCGGAGAGGGAGCCUGAGAAACGGCUACCACAUCCAAGGAAGGCAGCAGGCGCGCAAAUUACCCAAUCCCGACACGGGGAGGUAGUGACAAUAAAUACUGAUACAGGGCUCUUUUGGGUCUUGUAAUUGGAAUGAGUACAAUUUAAAUCCCUUAACGAGGAACAAUUGGAGGGCAAGUCUGGUGCCAGCAGCCGCGGUAAUUCCAGCUCCAAUAGCGUAUAUUAAAGUUGUUGCAGUUAAAAAGCUCGUAGUUGAACCUUGGGCCUGGCUGGCCGGUCCGCCUCACCGCGUGCACUGGUUCGGCCGGGCCUUUCCUCCUGGGGAGCCCCAUGCCCUUCACUGGGCGUGGCGGGGAACCAGGACUUUUACUGUGAAAAAAUUAGAGUGUUCAAAGCAGGCCUUUGCUCGAAUACAUUAGCAUGGAAUAAUGGAAUAGGACGUGCGAUCCUAUUUUGUUGGUUUCUAGGACCGCCGUAAUGAUUAAUAGGGAUAGUCGGGGGCAUCAGUAUUCAAUUGUCAGAGGUGAAAUUCUUGGAUUUAUUGAAGACUAACUACUGCGAAAGCAUUUGCCAAGGAUGUUUUCAUUAAUCAGUGAACGAAAGUUAGGGGAUCGAAGACGAUCAGAUACCGUCGUAGUCUUAACCGUAAACUAUGCCGACUAGGGAUCGGGCGAUGUUAUCAUUUUGACUCGCUCGGCACCUUACGAGAAAUCAAAGUCUUUGG
rnacentral:rRNA from 1 species